ACGUGGUGAAAUUGGUAGACACACCAGAUUUAGGUUCUGGCGCCGUAAGGUGUGAGAGUUCGAGUCUCUCCGUCCGCACCA
rnacentral:tRNA from 2 species